GACGAACGCCGGCGGCGUGCCUAAUACAUGCAAGUUGAGCGCUGAAGGUUGGUACUUGUACCGACUGGAUGAGCAGCGAACGGGUGAGUAACGCGUGGGGAAUCUGCCUUUGAGCGGGGGACAACAUUUGGAAACGAAUGCUAAUACCGCAUAAAAACUUUAAACACAAGUUUUAAGUUUGAAAGAUGCAAUUGCAUCACUCAAAGAUGAUCCCGCGUUGUAUUAGCUAGUUGGUGAGGUAAAGGCUCACCAAGGCGAUGAUACAUAGCCGACCUGAGAGGGUGAUCGGCCACAUUGGGACUGAGACACGGCCCAAACUCCUACGGGAGGCAGCAGUAGGGAAUCUUCGGCAAUGGACGAAAGUCUGACCGAGCAACGCCGCGUGAGUGAAGAAGGUUUUCGGAUCGUAAAACUCUGUUGGUAGAGAAGAACGUUGGUGAGAGUGGAAAGCUCAUCAAGUGACGGUAACUACCCAGAAAGGGACGGCUAACUACGUG
rnacentral:rRNA from 1 species